rfam:Pongo abelii chromosome 6.
CUUAUCGACCAUGCCACCCUAAAUGUGCCCAAUCUCUUCUGAUCUCAGAAGCUAAGCUGGGUGGGGCCUGGUUAGAACUUGGAUGAAAGACCACCUAGGUAUACCGGGUGCUGUAUUUC